rnacentral:rRNA from 1 species
GGAUUAGAUACCCUGGUAGUCCACGCCGUAAACGAUGGAUACCAGCUGUAUGUCCAUGAAACGGGGCAUGUGGUGCAGCUAACGCGAUGAGUAUCCCGCCUGGGGAGUACGGUCGCAAGACUAAAACUCAAAGGAAUUGACGGGGGCCCGCACAAGCGGUGGAGCAUGUGGUUUAAUUCGAUGCAACGCGAAGAACCUUACCUGGGUUUGACAUCCUCUGCUAUGUUUAGAGAUAGACAGUUCUUUUCGGAGACAGAGAGACAGGUGCUGCAUGGCGGUCGUCAGCUCGUGCUG